GCGCGCACCCGGCGGGCAUGGCGCGGUCACGGCGCGGUCACGGCGCGGUCACGGCGCGGUCACGGCGGGCAGGGCCGUGCGCUGCGGGGCUCCUUGCGGCGCCUGCCGCACGUGGCGCCUGCCGGCGCUCCCACAAGGUGCUCUGCGGGCCGCUUCCCUGCACUAUUUACCCAACCCGAGAGCGUUUACAUAGCGAAUAACGAGCACCGGAGAGCCGGCCGCGGGACCCCGCCCGCCCGCGUGGGAGACCCGAAGCUCGGGCCUCGGCAGCUCCCUGCGGGGGGUUCACACGGAAAGUCCUCCGGGGUGGCGCCACAAGAUUCAUUCUUUCGGGCUGUUUCCAUCUCUUUCGUCUCUCCAGAAGAUGCUCAGAGGUGUCCGCUGGGGUUCAGCAGCCCCUUCCUCGAGCAAGCGGGGUCAGUCACGAAGACACGAACACAACCGGGUUGUGAAGGGCAGCGAUACACAGUGUUAGUGCAAAUACUGUCACACUUUGGGAUUUAACGGAAUUAAUUAGUCUCAAUAUUGACUGUCUUCUUGAGGCUGGCAGCACUAGAGGAAAGCUAGUGCUUUGGCAAGAGGAAAGAAAGAAAGAAGAAAGAAAGAAGCAAGAAGACAGAAGAAGAAAACUAGUGCAAUGGAUCUGCUCCCUGUGCGUCCCCAGCCGAGCCCGCACAGGCACCGUGUCCGGCAGACGUGUCACUGUGUCCGGCAGACGUGUCACCAUGUCACUGUGUCCGGCAGAUAUGUCACCGUGUCCGGCAGACGGUGUCACUGGGGCUGAGUGGGGGGAGCAGCCAGGAAAGAGAAAAAAAUGCUCAAAAAUCGCUAAAACACUGCAGGGACCUGGGAGGGAAACUGCAAGCUCAUUAGGUCAAAUGUUAACUGAAAUCCCUCAUUCUGCUUUUCACUGUAUCCAAGUGAUAAAUAAAUAUUUUAACAUUCUUUACGAUGAACUAAAACAUAAAUGAUUUGGUCUUGUAUGAAAACAGUUAGAAAGCAACUAUCAGACAUUUGUGUUGGUAAACAAGCUCGCAUGAGUACAAACAGGACUUAUACAACAGAGCUAACGUGGAGCUGCUUUGAAGAGUCCCAGAGGAUUUAUGUCAAGUUUUAAUGUAUUCUGUUUGGGCAAACUUUUUGUUAAUCUGACAUUAGUAAUAAGUAAUUGUCAUGUGAAAUGAUUUCAGUUUCAGCCCUGCGAGGGGUGCACUGCCGCGCGGCCCCAGAGAUUCUCAUUCCGCGCUCGGUCCCCGCGGAGCACGUUUAACAAAUCCAGCUGGACCGUAACCAUCAAGGUUCCCAGCAGUAACUACGGCGAGUAACAGUUUGCUCGCAUUUGCUGCGCUAUCUCUAGGAUGUGCACGGCGAGAAGAACGUGUUCUUUUUAAAUAUUUCUAGUGGAGAAACCAUUUGUAAGAUACGUAUAGCUUGAAUAACAGAAUACAUGCAAACGGCUUUUUUUAAUUAGGAGAAGAGAGAAAAGUAUGUUGAAGGUUUUACAAGUGGGAUGCGUUGCUGAAUGUCCGUUUUGUGUUGCAAAUCGUGCUGUGACCCGGCCCCGCGUUCUGCCCCUCAGCUCGUCACCCCACCCCGCCGGGCUUUAUGUUCUGUUCCAUACGCACACAGCCCCUGGUUUCCAGAUGACUCGUGUUCUGCCAAACAGGCCAGGCUACCAGAUUAAUCAGUAUCAAGAGUUUUAAUUCUCUGUUUAGGUAAGAGAAGCAAAUCUCAAACAUUGAACUGUAUCUUGGUCAGCAUUGUAUUUUUCAGAUUUUUCUGAACACUUAUUACAUUAAAAAACAGUGAAUGAAUUAUUUCUUAAUUACAGUAUGAUUAUUCCUUUUGUUUGUCUGCUGUAUCAAGCUGCAUUAAAAAUCAGUUAAAAUAUA